AGCUCCAAUAGCGUAUAUUAAAGUUGUUGCAGUUAAAAAGCUCGUAGUCGAAUUUUGGACUUUGCACUAUUGUCGACCUCAUUGGUUUGUACUUUAGCUGCUUUGUCCUUCUUUCUAGUAAGCUGGUGAAAGCCAGAUGACUAGGACUUUUACUUUGAAGAAAUUAGAGUGUUUAAGGCAGGCUUAUGCUUGAAUAUAUUAGCAUGGAAUAAUAGAAUAGGACUUUGGUUCUAUUUUGUUGGUUGAAGAACCAAAGUAAUGAUUAAUAGGGAUAGUUGGGGGCAUUUGUAUUUCAAGGUCAGAGGUGAAAUUCUUGGAUUCUUGGAAGACAAACUAAUGCGAAAGCAUCUGCCAAGGAUGUUUUCA
rnacentral:rRNA from 1 species